rnacentral:rRNA from 1 species
CCUACGGGUGGCUGCAGUGAGGAAUAUUGCGCAAUGGGGGAAACCCUGACGCAGCGACGCCGCGUGAGUGAUGAAGGCCUUCGGGUUGUAAAGCUCUGUCAGAGGGAAAGAAAGGGGUGUUGGAAUAAUACCCAACACCAUUGACGGUACCCUCGGAGGAAGCACCGGCUAACUCCGUGCCAGCAGCCGCGGUAAUACGGAGGGUGCAAGUGUUGUAAGGAAUCACUGGGCGUAUAGAGAACUCAGGCGGGAAAUCCCGGGGCUUAACUUCGGAACUGCAUUUGAUACUGCCUGUCUUGAGUAUGGUAGAGGGGGAUGGAAUUCCCGGUGUAGAGGUGAAAUUCGUAGAUAUCGGGAGGAACACCAGAGGCGAAGGCGAUCCCCUGGGCCAUUACUGACGCUGAGGUGCGAAAGCGUGGGGAGCAAACAGGAUUAGAUACCCGUGUAGUC